UACGAAGGGGGCUAGCGUUGCUCGGAAUCACUGGGCGUAAAGGGCGCGUAGGCGGCCAUUCAAGUCGGGGGUGAAAGCCUGUGGCUCAACCACAGAAUUGCCUUCGAUACUGUUUGGCUUGAGUAUGGCAGAGGUUGGUGGAACUGCGAGUGUAGAGGUGAAAUUCGUAGAUAUUCGCAAGAACACCAGUGGCGAAGGCGGCCAACUGGGCCAUGACUGACGCGUGAGGCGCGAAAGCGUGGGGAGCAAACAGG
rnacentral:rRNA from 1 species